GAACAGGUGUAUUUGACCACACACUGGGGGAAGUGGGGGAAGUAAAGACCUGAGCUUUGAGGAAGUCAAGCUGGAGGCCCUCAGAGGUGGUUAUUUAUAUCAGAGUGAUGUGUAUUGAAAGCCAAAGACUUUCAUUCCCCCACCAUCACGGAACUGAUUUAGAGAAGAGGAAGGGCGUGUAUUUCGCCUUCUUAAAUAUCUGCUGCAAGAACUUCUGGUGUGGGUCAGACUGCUCAUGAUCCAUGCACAGGCUUUAUGGUAGAUGAAAGGGCGUGUCAUCAAUCUUGUUUCAACUACUUUGUACAUAAAAUGGCUAACUUCUCAUUGGUUGACAGACUGUGUGACUUCAUUCUUAUUUCCUUUCGCAAGAUGCUCCCUAUAUACCCCCCAUGUGAGCAGCCUGUUGUGCAUGUUUGGGGUGGGGGAGGAAGGACCUUACAUUGUCUAAGCUCAAAAUAAGAAAAUCAGACUCUAACAACAACCCAAAACAAUGCAUUAGAAACUCUUGUGGUGCCACUAACAUAAAUGAAGUCUCACAUAAUUAGCUUUCAUUUUAUAUCUCUUGCAUUGUAAAAUCCCUCCCUGCCCACACCCCACCCCCAUUCAGGCUCUUUUGGUUAUGAGAAAUGAGUGUGUUUUAGGACCAACAUGUCAGAAUUAUGAGGAAGAAACUUGGCAGUGGAACAAACUAUGUGAUACGCUUGACAAGAACUGAGAAACGACCCAUUUCAGGUUUUCUGAGGCAGCCUUUCAUUUUUGGUUCAGCAAUAUAGCCCAGAAGCCACAGAAUGGGAAGCACCGUUGCCAGCACCAUGAGGGUCAUAAAGAGGCCCAGUCACAUUGGGAUGGAAGUCCUCAUCCUCAGGCUCAGAGUGGUGAAUGGGAGGCGUGCCUUGCUCAGCCCCAGAGUGGAGACAAAUGGGUGUGGAAUUCACCAUAAUCUAUGGCAAGAAAUGGCCCUUACCCAUGGGAUUGAGAAUAUUAAUGCCAGGAAGAGGUCAGACAUUGAUAUUGAAGAGCAGACCUGUGUUGGAAUGAAUGCAGUUCUAGGGCGAGACUGGUGAAUGAAGAAGAAGGGUAAGUAUGAAUGAGGGCUGACUAGAGCAUGACAGAGAAGAAGGUCAAAAGUACCACAUGUUAAGCUGAAGCCAAGGUUUUUGGUUUUUUUUUUCUCUUUUUUUGGCCAUCCCCAUGGCAUAUGGAAUUCCUGGGCCAGGGACCAGAUCUCAGCCAGAGCUGCUGGACCCUUAACCCACUUAACUCAUUGUGCCAGGCCAGGGAUUGAAACUUAGUGCUAGGGCUCCAGAGACACUUCUGAUCCUGCUGCACCAUAGCAGGAACUCCUGAAGCCAAGAGUCUAAUGAAAGAUUAAGGUGUUCUAAUAAAAGACAGCAAGUGCUCA
rnacentral:lncRNA from 1 species